rnacentral:rRNA from 1 species
UACGUAGGGAGCAAGCGUUUGUCCGGAAUCAUUGGGCGUAAAGCGCGCGUAGGUGGCUUCGUAAGUCCGUUGUGAAAGUCAAAGGCUCAACCUUUGAAAGCCGAUGGAUACUGCGGAGCUAGAGUACGGAAGAGGCGAGUGGAAUUCCUGGUGUAGCGGUGGAAUGCGCAGAUAUCAGGAGGAACACCAAUAGCGAAGGCAGCUCGCUGGGACGUUACUGACACUGAGGCGCGAAAGCGUGGGGAGCGAUCCGG